ACUUCUUGUGCUUUAUUGGCAGUUGGGGCUUGAAGAAAUGUGAUUGAAUUGCCUAAUUUUACUGUUUAAAGUUGUUUUUGAAGUCCUUUUCUAGUUAUGUUGGUUCAUGGGAUCCACUUUAAUCUGUUUUUCACGCAUUCAAAACUACAGGACAAUAGUAGCUGUGUUAUCAAUAAUUUAGCGCGGAUCGAAUUUUGAUUCUAAUAUAAGCCAUUAAAUUAUUCAGCUUCAAGUUUUAUGCACCUUUUUCUUUUUUUGGGGGGUCGGUAAUUGAAACAAAAAGUUGUAGUAUUUAAUUUAGUGGUAUCAUGUCUUGAUGCUGUUAUAGCCCAUUAAAUUAUUGAAGCCCAUGUGGUCCUAACCUCACUUAGUUAUCUAGGGGAACUAAAUUGAAUUUUUUCUUUAACAAAUUGAUGAUUGAUUAAUUUAAUUAUUCGUGAUAGCAUUUAAAUGGUCUGUAAAGGCUGAUUCAUUUUUGUUUUCUUGUCAAAAUGUUAACUCGGUUGUGUAGAACUCAAUAUAGUAAUAUCUUUAAUUGAACAGCAGGUAUCAAACUGGGCCCAAAUGUGGGCAAAAUUUUAAAAAAUUCACAGGGGACAGGCUCUGCUUAGAUUCAAGGAACAAUUUGUUAAGUUAAUUCUGGUGUAAUUUUACUGUUUUGUCUUGAUCCUACAUGUAUUACGACAAUUCUUUUCUAUGUUGUUUAUACUUUAUUGUUAUAAUUUAAUAUUUGGCUCGGUUUUAUUGUUAUUCAUGCAAUUGGAGUGAAUAUAGAAAGCUCUAGUCUGAAACAGUUACUUGGAUAGAUAAUAUUUCUUAUUUGUUCUGGAAAAUCUCCAAAGCUGCAGUGUCAACUUUGAUUGUGCUGAUUGAGUAAUUUGAUUGUGCCAAGUGAUUAAAAGUUAUUUUCUUUUAUUUAAUGUCACAUGCCUCUUAUCAUCAUAUUUGCCUUAUUUAUUUAUUUAGUUGGUGUCAUUCCAGUUGUUUUUGUUAUCGUUGAAUUAGCUGUGAGUCAUGUUAUUAAUUUAUACAAGCAUAACCGGCUGGUUACGUUUUAGAAAAUCUCCUCUGCCAAUAAUUGUUGCUUGCUUUAUAUAAUUAAGAAUUAACAGCAGGACGAAUUGGUUGUUUUACUUAAAAAUAAUUUUGUUUUCUCUCUCUCUCAUUUUAUUUAUAGGCGUGCAUUAAACGGACCAAAUCUCUGCUUCUGUCAAUUAAUCCUCAUGUUUGACUUUGUUUCUAUAAGAAUUCUUGUAGAUUGCAACAUAUGUUGUUAUAUCUACCCAUGGUAGUUUCUUAAAAGUUAUAUUUGUUGACUUCUGGUUACUAAAAUUGCAAGAAUAGCAUUAUCAUCUUCAUCAGCAGCUGCAUCAUAUUCUUGUCAUAUCUCAUUUGUUUUAGAAUCAAUGUCAUGAUGUUACUUCAACUUUUGAAGUUAUUCCAUGAAGAAUGAUUUCUGCAAUCUGCACUCAGGGUUAUGGAGGAUGGGACUAAUGAUUCUUUACCCAACCUUGCUGCAUCAUUUAGUCGGACAAGCAGUGUCGGAUCUUCGCUGAGAAGGCGUUCCUUAAGCUUAUUACAAACUGUGCCCUUUCAAAUAGAUGAUGAUAUUGAAAGUGAAAAUGUUUCAGAGGCAGGUGAUAUUGGGGAUAGGGCUCUUCAUAGUAAGAGGUACAGUGAGAGUAGCAGCAUCCGGUUUUCCCUUGAUAACACUUUAGAGAAUGGAGUUGUGUUUCCCAUCAGGGAGGACAAUUUAUUGCAAUCAUAUGGGAUAGUGUCUCAUGAUUCCACAACUUUGAAUACAGCAAUCCCUGUGCCACAGGUGCCAGAAGAAAACAUAUCUCCUCUUUCCACGGAUGCAAUGGUGUGCUCGAAGGACGAAAAACAAGAAAAAGAGACGGCACUAGUUUUGUCCUCAGAAUUGGAAUAUAUAUCAUGUCUUCUUCAUCUCUCUGUUUUUGGGAUUCUUGGGGUUUUGACAAGGUACUUAUUACAGAAACUUUUUGGUCCUAGUGUGGCUGGUGUGACGGGUGACCACUACCCUUUAUACCUUGACCUUCCUUCCAACAUGGUUGGUUCUUUCCUGAUGGGAUGGUGGGGUGUUGUUUUCAAAGGAGAUAUAGCCAGUGUGUCUGAUCAUCUGGCCAUUGGAUUAACAACUGGAUACUUGGGAAGUCUCACAACUUUCAGUGGCUGGAAUCAGAAAAUGCUUGAUCUCAUUGUUGAUGGCCACUGGGUGUUUGCGCUGGUUGGCUUUCUUCUAGGCUUGUUCCUUGCAGCCUAUUCCAUCAAAUUUGGCAUUGGGACAGCCAAGUGUUUCAAGUCACUUCUCAAAAGACUAAAUAGACGUGAAAGUAAAAUUAGCAGCAAUUGGAGGGUGGACAACCGCAAGCGUCAUCUGGCAAUUAUGGCAAUUUUGGUGCUUAUGCUAGGUUUUUUAUGGAGUGUGAGUGGGACACUGCUAAAGAAGGAGUUCAACAGUGGCAGCAGUAGAGCCCAAUUAUGGCUGGCUUGCUUACUUGCAGCCCCAGGGGUAUGGAUCAGGUGGUUCUUGGCUCGGCUCAAUGGACGUGGAUUAGGGAAAACAGGGCAUCUGAGAUGGGUUCCAUUUGGAACUCUAAUUGCCAAUGUUUCUGCAGCUUGCAUCAUGGCAGCACUCGCUACUUUGAAGAAAGAGGUAAGUUCUAUAUCUCAAACUCGAUUUUUAAAAUGUAGAACUAAAUUUGAGAGAUAAGCACAACCAUUGACAAGGUUAGUAUUGAGAGUUCACCAAAUUUGGCAUUUGCCUUAAUGUCUUGGCACUACCAAGACCUUAAUUUGAAAACACACUAACCUCUGUUGUUUGUUGGGCAAUUGUCCCUUUUCCAUUUACAUUCAUUAUUUUAACCUCUGCAAUGUUAUUAUAUUAGUUUUUAAAGAUAUUUAAAAAAUUUGAAGCUGAUCAAUCCUGCAAUUGCAUCAUGCACACAACUGCAAUUUGUAAUUUUGAUUAGUUGGGAUCUGGGUGAUGAUGCAGGUUCAUACCAAGAACUGCAAUACCAUUUCAACUGGCAUACAGUUUGGAUUUUUGGGUUGUCUGAGUACUGUUUCAACUUUCAUAGCUGAAUACAAUGCCAUGGAAGAAAGUAAUAAAACUUGGAGAGCUUAUGCUUAUGCUCUAAUAACAAUACUCAUGUCAUUUGGCUUGGGGAUCCUGAUAUACUCCGUACCUGUUUGGACUAAGGGAUAUGACUGACAUAUGCUACGGCCAGCUUAUUGUUACAUCUCUUAUUGGUUAUGUAAAGUUGACAUGAUGCAGAUUUUGAUGAGAGAUUUGGAAAAUAGAAAUAUAUAGAACAAUUUCCUAAAAACUCAUUUUGUUGAUCAAUAGAUGAGAAAUCAAAGGUCCUAAUUUCAAACUUGGAUUAUGACUUAAUUAGACAUAUUUUAAUGAUAAUUUUGAAAAUUUAACUCAGUUAAACUUGGAUAUGAUUUUUUUUCAAGACUGAUAAUAUGUAUGAUGAA
rnacentral:misc_RNA from 1 species